rnacentral:rRNA from 1 species
UGUAGUCUGCAACCCGCCUACAUGAAGCUGGAAUCGCUAGUAAUCGCGAAUCAGAAUGUCGCGGUGAAUACGUUCCCGGGUCUUGUACACACCGCCCGUCACACCAUGGGAGUCGGAAAUGCCCGAAGUCAGUGACCCAACCGUAAGGAGGGAGCUGCCGAAGGUGGAGCCGGUAACUGGGGUGAAGUCGUAACAAGGUAAC